rnacentral:rRNA from 1 species
AUACGUAGGUGGCAAGCGUUGUCCGGAAUUAUUGGGCGUAAAGCGCGCGCAGGUGGUUCCUUAAGUCUGAUGUGAAAGCCCCCGGCUCAACCGGGGAGGGUCAUUGGAAACUGGGGAACUUGAGUGCAGAAGAGGAUAGUGGAAUUCCAAGUGUAGCGGUGAAAUGCGUAGAGAUUUGGAGGAACACCAGUGGCGAAGGCGACUGUCUGGUCUGUAACUGACACUGAGGCGCGAAAGCGUGGGGAGCAAACAGGAUUAGAUACCCGGGUAGUCCACGCCGUAAACGAUGAGUGCUAAGUGUUGGGGGGUUUCCGCCCCUCAGUGCUGCAGCUAACGCAUUAAGCACUCCGCCUGGGGAGUACGGUCGCAAGACUGAAACUCAAAUGAAUUGACGGGG